GCAUGGUUGAAUACCAUGUUCUUUUUAUCAGUAUGUUACACAGCCUAACACCAUGCAAAAUUAAAGUUUUCCCUUGAAAUGACUUCUGAUGGCAUGCUGUUUUUUCAUGACAUAUCAUUAUUAAAAGUGGUUCCAAGG